rnacentral:rRNA from 1 species
GGUCAAAGUAAUAAGAGUCUAUGGUGAAUGCCUAGGAGCUUUAAGGCGAAGAAGGUCGUGGUAAGCUGCGAAAAGCUUGGGGGAGAAGCAAACAUUUAUUGAUCCCAAGAUUACCGAAUGGAGUAAUCCAGCUAGCAAGAUGCUAGCUAUCUAUUAUUUAAAUAAUAGAGGCGAUACCAGGGGAAGUGAACCAUCUAAGUACCCUGAGGAAAAGAAAUCAAAGAGAUUCCCUUAGUAGUGGCGAGCGAAAAGGGAGUAGCCCAAACUUUAAAUGUGUCAAGCUGCAGAGCGUUGCAUUUAUGGGGUUGUAGGACGUUUAAGCUUAGUCUGUGAUAAGCAAAAAAGUUACAAAAUAUUUAUAUAGAAGAAUAAUCUGGAAAGUUUAACCAAAGAAGGUGAUAGUCCUGUAAUUUAAAUGUAAAUAUCUUUUUAAAAUGUUCCUGAGUAGGACGAGGCACGAGAAACCUUGUUUGAAGCUGGGGAGACCACUCUCCAAGGCUAAAUACUAAAAAGCUACCGAUAGAGAAGAGUACCGUGAGGGAAAGGUGAAAAGAACCCCGGGAGGGGAGUGAAAUAGAACUGAAACCGUAGACUUACAAGCAGUCAAAGCCGUAAUUUAUUGCGGUGAUGGCGUGCCUUUUGCAUAAUGAACCUGCGAGUUAUCAUGUCUAGCAAGAUUAAAGCAUAGAAGUGCUGGAGUCGAAGCGAAAGCGAGUCUUAAAAGGGCGAUUUAGUUAGAUGUGGUAGACCCGAAGCCGAGUGAUCUAUUUAUGGCCAGGCUGAAGCUUGGGUAAAACCAAGUGGAGGGCCGAACUCUAGUCUGUUUAAAAAGGCAGGGAUGAGCUGUGAAUAGGAGUGAAAGGCUAAACAAACUCGGAGAUAGCUGGUUCUCCCCGAAAUGGAUUUAAGUUCAGCCUUAUUUUAGUUUAAUAGAGGUAGAGCACUAAUUGAGCUAGGGCCUGUCAAAAGGUACCAAACUCAGUUAAACUCCGAAUGCUAUUAAAUGAUGGAUAGGAGUGAGACUAUGGGCGAUAAGGUUCAUAGUCGAGAGGGAAACAACCCAGAUCAACAGCUAAGGUCUCAAAAAUGUGUUAAGUGGAAAAGGAGGUUUAGGUACGUAAACAGCCAGGAGGUUGGCUUAGAAGCAGCCAUACCUUUAAAGAGUGCGUAAUAGCUCACUGGUCGAGUACUUAAGUGCCGAUAAUGUAACGGGGCUAAACACAUUACCGAAGCUUUGGAUCUUAACAAAAGUUAAGAUGGUAGGGGAGCGUUCUGUAAGCCAGAGAAGUUAAACUGAAAAGUUUGAUGGAGGUAUCAGAAGUGAGAAUGCAGGUAUGAGUAACGAAAAAAUGGGUGAGAUUCCCAUUCGCCGAAAACCUAAGGUUUCCUGGGUGAAGGUCGUCUUCCCAGGGUUAGUCGGCCCCUAAGGCAAAGCUGAAAAGUGUAGUCGAUGGGAAACGGGUUAAUAUUCCCGUACCUCUUAUAGUUUCGAUGGAGUGACGCAUGAGGUUAACUACUGCUAGGCGAUGGUUGUCCUAGUUUAAGCAUUAAGGUGAUGAUCUUAAUAGGAAAAUC